GUUACAGGCUUAACACAUGCAAGUCGAGGGGCAGCAUGGUCUUAGCUUGCUAAGGCCGAUGGCGACCGGCGCACGGGUGAGUAACACGUAUCCAACCUGCCGUCUACUCUUGGACAGCCUUCUGAAAGGAAGAUUAAUACAAGAUGGCAUCAUGAGUCCGCAUGUUCACAUGAUUAAAGGUAUUCCGGUAGACGAUGGGGAUGCGUUCCAUUAGAUAGUAGGCGGGGUAACGGCCCACCUAGUCUUCGAUGGAUAGGGGUUCUGAGAGGAAGGUCCCCCACAUUGGAACUGAGACACGGUCCAAACUCCUACGGGAGGCAGCAGUGAGGAAUAUUGGUCAAUGGGCGAGAGCCUGAACCAGCCAAGUAGCGUGAAGGAUGACUGCCCUAUGGGUUGUAAACUUCUUUUAUAAAGGAAUAAAGUCGGGUAUGGAUACCCGUUUGCAUGUACUUUAUGAAUAAGGAUCGGCUAACUCCGUGCCAGCAGCCGCGGUAAUACGGAGGAUCCGAGCGUUAUCCGGAUUUAUUGGGUUUAAAGGGAGCGUAGAUGGAUGUUUAAGUCAGUUGUGAAAGUUUGCGGCUCAACCGUAAAAUUGCAGUUGAUACUGGAUAUCUUGAGUGCAGUUGAGGCAGGCGGAAUUCGUGGUGUAGCGGUGAAAUGCUUAGAUAUCACGAAGAACUCCGAUUGCGAAGGCAGCCUGCUAAGCUGCAACUGACAUUGAGGCUCGAAAGUGUGGGUAUCAAACAGGAUUAGAUACCCUGGUAGUCCACACGGUAAACGAUGAAUACUCGCUGUUUGCGAUAUACUGCAAGCGGCCAAGCGAAAGCGUUAAGUAUUCCACCUGGGGAGUACGCCGGCAACGGUGAAACUCAAAGGAAUUGACGGGGGCCCGCACAAGCGGAGGAACAUGUGGUUUAAUUCGAUGAUACGCGAGGAACCUUACCCGGGCUUAAAUUGCAGAUGAAUUACGGUGAAAGCCGUAAGCCGCAAGGCAUCUGUGAAGGUGCUGCAUGGUUGUCGUCAGCUCGUGCCGUGAGGUGUCGGCUUAAGUGCCAUAACGAGCGCAACCCUUGUUGUCAGUUACUAACAGGUUCCGCUGAGGACUCUGACAAGACUGCCAUCGUAAGAUGUGAGGAAGGUGGGGAUGACGUCAAAUCAGCACGGCCCUUACGUCCGGGGCUACACACGUGUUACAAUGGGGGGUACAGAGGGCCGCUACCACGCGAGUGGAUGCCAAUCCCCAAAACCUCUCUCAGUUCGGACUGGAGUCUGCAACCCGACUCCACGAAGCUGGAUUCGCUAGUAAUCGCGCAUCAGCCACGGCGCGGUGAAUACGUUCCCGGGCCUUGCACACACCGCCCGUCAAGCCAUGGGAGCCGGGGGUACCUGAAGUGCGUAACCGCGAGGAGCGCCCUAGGGUAAAACUGGUGACUGGG
rnacentral:rRNA from 1 species